CACCAUUUCACCCGUAGUGUCCAAUAACACGUCAUCGGAAAGCACCUCAAUGCUUUCUGAGAGAUGUAGCUCAGAUUACAGGUUUUAGAAGUAGAAAUCUGAUCAAUCUAACAAACACCUUUGAGACAGGAACUGUGCUAAUUUCCACUAGGCAAAUUACUAAGUAACAAACUACUACAGCUGUAAUUAAAGUAUCUGCUUCCACCAGAGUAUAGAUGGACCUUCCUGGAUACUCAUUCAUAACACUGGGAGCAGCCCGUUAGUAUAUUAACUUCCUUUAAAGAUCAGUACUGUAAUUCAAGGCUUAUCAUACUGUUCAUUUGAUCUCAAUGAAGAUUGACACUUAGCAAUAGAAACUGUAUGUGGUAGGCCUCCUUGAAAGAGCUAUUGAGGA